CAGUCGCGCGGUAAUACAGAGGGUGCGAGCGUUAAUCGGAUUUACUGGGCGUAAAGCGUGCGUAGGCGGCUUCUUAAGUCGGAUGUGAAAUCCCUGAGCUUAACUUAGGAAUUGCAUUCGAUACUGGGAAGCUAGAGUAUGGGAGAGGAUGGUAGAAUUCCAGGUGUAGCGGUGAAAUGCGUAGAGAUCUGGAGGAAUACCGAUGGCGAAGGCAGCCAUCUGGCCUAAUACUGACGCUGAGGUACGAAAGCAUGGGGAGCAAACAGGAUUAGAUACCCGAGUAGUCCCUGUCUCUUAUACA
rnacentral:rRNA from 1 species